rnacentral:rRNA from 1 species
UACGGAGGGGCGUAGCGUUGUUCGGAAUUACUGGGCGUAAAGCGCACGUAGGCGGAUCAGCCAGUCAGGGGUGAAAUCCCGGGGCUCAACCCCGGAACUGCCCUUGAUACUGCUGGUCUGGAGUUCGAGAGAGGCGAGUGGAAUUCCGAGUGUAGAGGUGAAAUUCGUAGAUAUUCGGAGGAACACCAGUGGCGAAGGCGGCUCGCUGGCUCGACACUGACGCUGAGGUGCGAAAGCGUGGGGAGCAAACAGGAUUAGAUACCCCGGUAGUCCCU